rnacentral:rRNA from 1 species
GACGAACGCUGGCGGCGUGCUUAACACAUGCAAGUCGAACGGAAAGGCCCUGCUUUUGUGGGGUGCUCGAGUGGCGAACGGGUGAGUAACACGUGAGUAACCUGCCCUUGACUUUGGGAUAACUUCAGGAAACUGGGGCUAAUACCGGAUAGGAGCUCCUGCUGCAUGGUGGGGGUUGGAAAGUUUCGGCGGUUGGGGAUGGACUCGCGGCUUAUCAGCUUGUUGGUGGGGUAGUGGCUUACCAAGGCUUUGACGGGUAGCCGGCCUGAGAGGGUGACCGGCCACAUUGGGACUGAGAUACGGCCCAGACUCCUACGGGAGGCAGCGGUGGGGAAUAUGGCACAAUGGGCGGAAGCCUGAUGCAGCAACGCCACGUGCGGGAUGACGGCCUUCGGGUUGUAAACCGCUUUCGCCUGUGACGAAGCGUGAGUGACGGUAAUGGGUAAAGAAGCACCGGCUAACUACGUG